rnacentral:rRNA from 1 species
AAUGUAUAGCAAUAGCUACUUGCAUCAUUGUAAAUAUGAUGCAAGAUCGACUAUGUCGAAUAAAAUUCUAGGUAGAAUUAUGAUAAUGACAUUGUCUGCCUAUGUGUCUUGACCAAAUUACGUGCCAGCAGUCGCGGUAAUACGUAGAAGACUAGUGUUAUUCAUGUUUAAUCGGUUUAAAGGGUACCUAGACGGUAAAUCAAGCCUAAAAAGAAAGAAAUAAAGGGACUAAUUUACUAGAGUUACUUAUGAGGGGGUAUUAAAGUACUGCUGGUGUAGAGAUGAAAUUCUGUCAUACCUCUUUUCAAUAGAAAAAUAACGGCACAGGUAUAGGCGAAGGCAUCCCCUUAUGUGAUAACUGACGUUGAGGGACGAAGGCUUUGUGUAGUGAACAGGAUUAGAUACCCCAGUAGUCAAAGCAGAAAAUGAUGAAUGUCAUAGAUUAGAUGUAUAAGUUUAUUCUAUAAAUGAAAGUGUAAGCAUUCCACCUCAAGAGUAAUUUGGCAACAUUGGAACUGAAAUCAUUAGACCGUUUCUGAAACCAGUAGUGAAGUAUGUUGUUUAAUUUGAUGAUCCGCAAAAAACCUUACCACAAUUUGAAUAUUUAUAUUUUUAUUUAUUGUUUUUUUUUUAAUUUUCUUCUGAUUUUCUGCUUGAGGAAAAAAGAAGAAAAGUAAAAAAAGGCAAUAAGAUAUAUUUACAAGCGUUGCACGGCUGUCUUCAGUUAAUGUCGUGAGACUAUGGUUAGUUCCAUUAAAUUAACGUAANNNNNNNCUUUAUUUUUAUAUAGAGUAGUUCCCCGCUAUAU